rnacentral:lncRNA from 1 species
CUGGGUGGUGAGAUCUUUUGAGAAAAGAUUUCAGGUGUGGCUCUAGUGGAGAUUCGAAGGUAAUCAGGUGGUGGUGCAUUUCAUCCUUGAGAAGAAAAUUGGCAGUGAACUUGUGAAGAAGGCUGCAGCACAACAUCGAGUUGGAAAGGAUCUUGAUCAUUCCUAUAUGAAUCACUGCUGGAGGACAUCUACUUUGGUGUCUUAUGGAGACCAUCCUCGCACCGGAUCGUCAUCUUCAGGAAAGUAUAUAUUUCUACUUUAUAUGCAUGCUUGAUUUGUUUGAUUGAAAUCUACAAAGUAGUCCUAGGGUUUGCGUUCCGGUUAGCAUGUUUUAAGUGUUAAAACUUGAUAAAAAUUUUUGAAAAUCAUAUUUCGCUGUGCAACCGGAACCCAACAUAAUAAACAUGAACUUUUCCCCUAGUGAGCCGAAUAGGAUAAAUGACAUCCAAUGACUACAAGUGGGGGGGGGGAUACAAGAAGCUUACCUAUAUACAUAUACUAGCUUCAAUCUAGUAAUGUUCAAGAACGAGAGGUAAUGGGUCGAAAGGAUGGUAAGAAUAUGGAAGCAUUGAUGACUUGCUCAACAACUCCACCCUUACAAGUUACAACCAAGCAAGAGUUGAUCUGCCAUGUGCACCUUCAAAGGGGACAUCUUGUACAAGAAUAACUUUCAAGAAAAGAUUAUCACAGGU